UACGAAGGGGGCUAGCGUUGUUCGGAAUUACUGGGCGUAAAGCGUGCGCAGGCGGUUGGGUAAGACAGAUGUGAAAUCCCCGGGCUCAACCUGGGAACUGCAUUUGUGACUGCACAGCUGGAGUGCGGCAGAGGGGGAUGGAAUUCCGCGUGUAGCAGUGAAAUGCGUAGAUAUGCGGAGGAACACCGAUGGCGAAGGCAAUCCCCUGGGCCUGCACUGACGCUCAUGCACGAAAGCGUGGGGAGCAAACAGG
rnacentral:rRNA from 1 species